ACUUGACCUCAACCUCAUUUCAUGGAUCAGUGAACAAGGUUAAGUUUUGGUGGUCAAGUCCAUAUCUCAGAUACUAUAAGCAAUAGGUCUAGUAUAUUCAGUGUAUGGAAGGACUGUAAGGUGUACAUGUCCAACUGGCAGGUGUCAUCUGACCUUGACCUCAUUUUCAUGGUUCAGUGGUCAAAGUUAAGUUUUUGAGUUUUGGUCUUUUUUUCUAAUACUAUAUGCAAUAUAGUUCAACUAUAUUUGGUAUGUGCGUAUCUUGCAAGGUCCUCAUGCCCGUCAGACAGUUUUCACUUGACCUCGACCUCAUUUCAUGGAUCAGUGAACAAGGUUAAGUUUUGGUGGUCAAGUCCAUAUCUCAGAUACUAUAAGCAAUAGGUCUAGUAUAUUCGGUGUAUGGAAGGACUGUAAGGUGUACAUGUCCAACUGGCAGGUGUCAUCUGACC